UAAAAAAAAAAAUAAAAUAAAAUGAAAUUUAAGUUUAACCUGAAGUUAAAACGAAUACAAUCUCCUGUUUUAUUUUUUGUUUUUCUAUUUAAUUUAAAACUACAUAUGAACCUAUUGUUUUAGUUUUUUGUCUUUAAUUUGUAAGCACUGAGACAUUAUCAUUGUGGUAAUUUCUAUACAAAGCAUUUAUAUGUAUAGAUCCUUGACUAUCGUGGAUGAUUGUUAAUAGUUUGCUACCAGAGCACAAGAAAGCCAGUGGUUUGGUCCCUGUUCCUUUUAAGUUUAAGUUUCCCACAGUCUCUGGAAAUACCUUAGCCUACACAGGUUCUGCAUACAAGGAAGGAGCUGAAGGAGUCUGUAAAUUUGUAUAUACCACAUUACAAAAACGUAACUAUGUAUAGUAGAAGGACCAGUUUUAUAGUUUAACGUACUAUCGCACUAAUUGUAGAUGACACAGGAAUAUAAUCGACAAUAGCGUAGUAACCCUAUGGAGCAUGUUUCCCACAUUACCAGACCAGUAUUGCUGUGUUUUAUAUUCACAAGUGUUAACAAGCCUAACUGCUGUUUUCCUCCAAUGCCUUCCAACGUCCAACUAAACAAGAGAUGGGUAAUCCCCUCUUCUCUCGUAAACAUUUGUUUCAGUGUGCAUGUGUGUUUUAAGCAGCACAUCUACUAAGACAGCUGCAUGUAUAAUGUGCAAACAAAGAAAAAGAAAAAAAAAAACAGGUUUGCUAAUAUACAGGGCUUAAGAAGAAGCAGCAGCAGCAGAAACUGCAAUACAUCCAGAAGAACUAAAGCAACUCACAAGCGAAACCUGCGGUACUAUUGCUGCAUGAAGACCAGCCUUCCUUAGCCUUGGUCCUUAACACAGGCAAGGAGUUGUCACACCAACUUAUCUACACUUCACAAUGUGCAAAAUGUCAGUUUAUAUAAAUGUAUAAUAUAAAUUUACUAUAAUGCAUGUCUCCAGUUGUAAGUAGCCAAAACUAUUUUAUCAACUACAAAUUUCUUUAUAUAAAGCUAUGUACAGUAUUGCUAUAUAUAAAAUCCAUCUCCAUGAAAAAAACAACAGAUGUUCAGUGUUAAACUAAACCUUCAAUCCAUGAUUUCACAACCAAAUAUUUUUCCUAAGGAAAGCUUUUCUUUCAGUGUUUAUUUAUUUUUAUUUUUUUUUGGUGUGCAAAAUAAUUGAAUAGAAAUUACAUUUUUGCACUGUAAUAAUGUAACUUAAGAGUAUAACUCAGUAGUUUGGCAGACAUUGGUGCAAUAUGGAAUUAUGAUGCAUACAUUGUGAAACAACCUGUGGGUAAGGUUAGCAGCAUGUUUUGACUAUGUAGACUACUGUAAAUAAGAUCAAGCGUUCAUUUCAGCUCUGAUGACUAACAUGCAUCACAUGAAAUUCAUGAUUUCAGGUAAAUAAAACUAUUAUACAAGA